UACGUAGGGUGCAGGCGUUAAUCGGAAUUACUGGGCGUAAAGCGUGCGCAGGCGGUCUGCUAAGAGAGGUGUGAAAUUUCGGAGCUUAACUCCGAAACUGCAUUUGAUACUGGCGUGCUUGAGGACUGGAGAGGAGACUGGAAUUCACGGUGUAGCAGUGAAAUGCGUAGAGAUCGUGAGGAAGACCAGUGGCGAAGGCGGGUCUCUGGACAGUUCCUGACACUGAGGCACGAAGGCCAGGGGAGCAAACGGG
rnacentral:rRNA from 1 species